GUCGUAACAAGGUAGCCGUAGGGGAACCUGCGGUUGGAUCACCUCCUUACCUGAAGAUACCUUCCCGCGCAGUGUCCACACAGAUUGUCUGAUGAAAAAGUAACGAGCAGAAAAAACCUCUACAGGCUUGUAGCUCAGGUGGUUAGAGCGCACCCCUGAUAAGGGUGAGGUCGGUGGUUCAAGUCCACUCAGGCCUACCAAAUUCUUUCCUGUCCUGCGUUGUGACUUCACUUGCAUAGCGAGCUAUGCGUCGCGAAGCCACGCCUUGGACAGAAAAGAAUUACAUUUUUGUGUCAACAGGAAUGUGACUCGGUUGAGUGGUAGUAGUUGGUCUCUGCAGUAACUGUAUAGGGCUAUAGCUCAGCUGGGAGAGCGCCUGCCUUGCACGCAGGAGGUCAGCGGUUCGAUCCCGCUUAGCUCCACCAUGCAGUUGUCUGAAAAUACUUCAGAGUGUACCGGCGACGGUAUGCUGCGAAGUAUUAUGCUCUUUAACAAUCCGGAAUAAGCUGAAAAUUGAAACGACGUGUCGCGUUCAUUCUCCGUAAUAAGAAUGAAAAAUGGCGACAUGUUCGAGUCUCUCAAAUGCUUACAGCUGACUUGAGUCCUGCGGGACGCUUGUGGGUUGUGAGGUUAAGUGACUAAGCGUACACGGUGGAUGCCUUGGC
rnacentral:misc_RNA from 1 species